rnacentral:lncRNA from 1 species
CUCCAAUGGCACUGAAAAUGUCACUGUUCCUCUCAGGGAUGCGACUAAAGGAUCAGCCUUGCUGAAGAACUGAACAUCAUUGCUUCUUGUAUUAAGGACAGAUUGAGAGAAUUGCAUCCCCCAAGGCUGGGUCCAUAGCAGUGGCCAUGACAAGUACUGUGUGUCUCUCCUGUAAUUGUUGUAGCCUUGAGUGCCCGUUGCAAGAUUUUAGAAUGUGAUUUUUGGAGCGUUCUUGCAGCACUUAACAGUAGACCACUACUUCAGUGACCUCCAUAAAAUUGCUUGGAGGAAAACUGA